UGCGCUAGUAUUUGAUUUUUGUUUCUUUUCGAGUUAGCUGAUUUAGCAGCUGCUCGAUCGACCUCCUUUUUUGCCCGUUUGUUUCUUCUUUGUUUAUUGCUUGCAAUAGAUGAGUACUCUUUUUUCUUUACCGGUGUUUUUUUUUUUUUUUUUGAUUUUCGCCGGAAAGAUUUCGAUGAGGCUCGAUCGGCCUUAGUUAGUGUUUCUGUGCUAUCAAUGGGCUUUUAUGAUUUUUUUUCAAUAAAAUUUUAAUUAAAAAAAAUGUAUAAAUUAAGUAAAAGAGAAGAAAAACCUAAACAUAUGUUCCACUCUUUAGGUUAGAUUAAUGUGUUGGACUAGUUUUGAUGUAUCAAAUACUGAUACAUUUUUAUUACUGUUGUUAUUGUGAUUUUUUGUAUCA
rnacentral:lncRNA from 1 species